rnacentral:lncRNA from 1 species
AAAAAUAUAUAUACAGUGUUAAGAGUACAACGGGACUUUAUUAUAGGAAUUACUAUUAAACAUCUUUAAGAAAAAGAUCACUUAUGGAAAUAAAAUUCUAAAAUAGCCACACUCACAAAUGUCACAGAUCAGUUUGUUUUGUUCUUUCGAAACCUUUCUGCAGAGAAAUGAUACAAACAUCACUGAGAAUUGUACAUUUUUAUGUAAGAAACACAUUUUGGCCCCCAAGCCGGGUUUGUGGCCUUUCCACUCCAUAAACCUGAUUUUUGUUUUGUACAGCACACAAAAACCCCUCUCCACCUCCAUUAAAACCAUGCUUUGUGCCUCCAGGAUAUUUUGACACAGCCACAGAGUGACAUCCCCCAGAGGCUGUGCCUGGCCUGGGAUGUGUAAGGGCAGCUUGUUGGGGGGUGGUGGCAGAGCCGUGCCCAGAGCCCUGUGCCAGGCCUGGGUGGCAAUGGAGCUUUGGUGCAGGAGCCCAGCAGGGUCAGAGCCAGCAGGGCUGGGCACUGAGCCCCCUGUGCUGUCCCCUCCUCGCUGUCCCUCUCCCAGUGGAAGCAGAGGGGAUGAGCUCAGGCAGAAAGCAGAGGCAGCUGCUGGCCUGGGGAUGCUCCCAGCACACCUGGACUGGGUGGCAGAGGUGACCCAGGUGUCCCUUAUCGAGCAGAUUGAGAGGAGGGACAGUGUCCCCCACUCUGUCCCGGCUCCCAGCGGUGCACAGGACUGGCCUGUGGCCCUGUGCCAUCUCCCAGGGCAGCUCACCCAUCCCUGCAGCCAGGGCAGGACCAGCCCAGCCCAGCACACCCAGCACAGCCUGGCACAGCACUCCUUACCAUAUGCAUGUCCUUCCACGUCAUCCAGAAGAUUUGCUGUGGAGGCUGCUGUCCCCAUCCUGCUCCCUCCGCUAAGGAAAACCACUGUGGGGCCAGGAUGUGGCCAGGGACCACAGCCACCCUUCCCAGCCCAUGCUCCAGCCACACAGGAGCCCUUGGGGAGCCUCCCCUGCCCCACAGGCCUUUCAGGAUACACCUGGUGCUUCAACAAGUGUUUUCUUUUUGAUUUCCUCAUCUUUGUCUUCUCGGAGAAGGCUCUGGCGAGUUCAAACAGCUUCUUGCGCGUGGCUGGAAGGAAGCAGCUCCCUGAGGGUCUCACCCAAACCCCAAAACCCCUCCCAAAGCUGCCACAGGCAGGGGAAAGGAGAGGGGCAGGGCCAGGGGAGUGAGAGCCACCCACACCCAACACCCUGUGGUGAUGCUCAGACUCGGGGAGGGGGACAGGGACACUUUGGUUCCUGGUGGGAGGUGCUCAUGUUUUCCCCUUUUUCUGGGAUUUUCAUGACCUUCCUUACCCACCCCUCCCAGUGUUCCCAGUGCCCUCAGCCCAGCUGGGGCCACCCAAGGACCUUGCUCUAGUCUGUGGUGGGAAAAUCAGGCUGUGCCUGAGUUUGGCACAGUGCCAGGUACUGCUGCCAUUCCCCCUGCCCACUCCACUCCCAGCUGCCCCCCAGCCCUGCCAGGUGCCAGCCCGGGCCCUGCACACUCACAUUUGCCCAUGUGCUUGAGCUUGUCUCGGAAUAAGGCAUCGUCGGACACGGCCCCGCCGGCCUCGCUGGCUCCAGAGGGAGCUCCCUCACCUGCAAGGCAAACACCCAAACACGGCUCACCGGGAGGGCCUGCCUGCCUGGAGAGGGGCUGUGACAAAUCAUUCAGUUCCAGCAGCAGCCAAGGGCAGAGGGGCAGAGCAGGUGGGAUGAGGGUGGGCUGGCUGUGGAUGGGGACCCUCUGGGGACACAACCCCUGGGACCAGGAGUGCAGAGCCGUGGGCUGGCAGCACACCCUCACAGGGGCUCAGCCCCAGCACCAGCACCUCCCUCCAGGGUCAGCAGCUCCAAAUUCCCCCGGGCUCUGACUGUGCUCUGGGUGUUGGAUGAUGCUACCCAGUGGAUCAGCAGCAAGCCCAUCUGGGUCAGGAACAGAGACCCCAGAGCCAUGGCCCUGCUCCCCAGGUCUGGGAGCCCAGCUGGAGCCCUGCCAGGCUGCCCAGGCCUGCCCAUCCCCACAUGGGGCCAUCGACAAAUACCAGCUCUAAUUCUGACUCUGGGCAGCUGCUGUGCUCCGAGGUUAAUCAGGAUUACCCAGAACAGUCAUUAUGCCUGCAGGCACAAUCCUCUGCUCCAGCCCAGGCAGGGAUGGAUGGAGGCAGGAUGCAGCAGCACCUCCACA